CACCAGCCCCUCGAGUGGUGGGGACUUUUAUUUGGUCUAAAGCGUCCGUAGCUGGCUGUAUCCGUCCCCCGUUAAAUCCAGCGUCCUAAACGUUGGACUGCGGGUGAUACCAUACAGCUAGAGGGUGGGAUAGGUGAGCGGUAUUUCUGGGGUAGGGGCGAAAUCCUUUGAUCCCAGGAGGACCACCAGUGGCGAAGGCUGCUCACUAGAACACGCCUGACGGUCAGGGACGAAAGCUGGGGCAGCGAACCGGAUUAGAUACCCGGGUAGUCCCAGCUGUAAACGAUGCUAGCUAGGUGUUGGGUCGGCCACGCGCCGCCCCAGUGCCGCAGGGAAGCCGUUAAGCUAGCCACCUGGGGAGUACGGCCGCAAGGCUGAAACUUAA
rnacentral:rRNA from 1 species